rnacentral:rRNA from 1 species
UUAUUGGUUCUAUCUUUUGUCCUCAGUCGCCGAUUUAAUCCUGCCGUGGUGCUCUUCACCGAGUGUCGAGGUAGGCCGGCACGUUUACUUUGAACAAAUUAGAGUGCUCAAA